rnacentral:rRNA from 1 species
CUACGGGUCGCUGCAGUGAGGAAUAUUGCAUAAUGGGGGGAACCCUGAUGCAGCAACGCCGCGUGGAGGAUGACGCAUUUCGGUGUGUAAACUCCUUUUAUAUGUCAAGAAAAUGACGGUAGCAUAUGAAUAAGCACCGGCUAACUCCGUGCCAGCAGCCGCGGUAAUACGGAGGGUGCAAGCGUUACUCGGAAUCACUGGGCGUAAAGGACGCGUAGGCGGGUUGGAAAGUCAGUUGUGAAAUCCUACAGCUUAACUGUAGAACUGCACUUGAAACUUCUAAUCUAGAGGAUGGGAGGGGGAGAUUGAAUUAGUGGUGUAGGGGUAAAAUCCGUAGAUAUCACUAGGAAUACCUAAAGCGAAGGCGAUCUCCUGGAACAUUACUGACGCUAAUGCGUGAAAGCGUGGGGAGCAAACAGGAUUAGAUACCCCCGUAGUC